GACGAACGCUGGCGGCGUGCUUAACACAUGCAAGUCGAACGGAAAGGCCCUGCUUUUGUGGGGUGCUCGAGUGGCGAACGGGUGAGUAACACGUGAGUAACCUGCCCUUGACUUUGGGAUAACUUCAGGAAACUGGGGCUAAUACCGGAUAGGAGCUCCUGCUGCAUGGUGGGGGUUGGAAAGUUUCGGCGGUUGGGGCUGGACUCGCGGCUUAUGCGCUUGUUGGGGGGGUAGUGGCUUACCAAGGCUUUGACGGGUAGCCGGCCUGAGAGGGUGACCGGCCACAUGGGGACUGAGAUACGGCCCAGACUCCUACGGGCGGCAGCAGUGGGGAAUAUUGCACAAUGGGCGGAAGCCUGAGGCAGCAACGCCGCGUGCGGGAUGACGGCCUUCGGGUUGUAAACCGCUUUCGCCUGUGACGAAGCGUGAGUGACGGUAAUGGGUAAAGAAGCACCGGCUAACUACGUG
rnacentral:rRNA from 1 species